CCAGGUAGGGUAGGGGUUAGAGGUCAGGUAUUUACAGCAGCAGUCUCUCCGGGUAGGGUAGGGGUUAGAGGUCAGGUAACUACAGCAGCAGUCUCCCCGGGUAGGGGUUAGAGGUCAGGUAUAUACAGCAGCAGUCUCUCCAGGUAGGGUA